GACGAACGCUGGCGGCGUGCUUAACACAUGCAAGUCGAACGGAAAGGCCCUGCUUUUGUGGGGUGCUCGAGUGGCGAACGGGUGAGUAACACGUGAGUAACCUGCCCUUGACUUUGGGAUAACUUCAGGAAACUGGGGCUAAUACCGGAUAGGAGCUCCUGCUGCAUGGUGGGGGUUGGAAAGUUUCGGCGGUUGGGGAUGGACUCGCGGCUUAUCAGCUUGUUUGUGGGGUAGUGGCUUACCAAGGCUUUGACGGGUAGCCGGCCUGAGAGGCUGACCGGCGACAUUGGGACUGAGAUACGGACCAGAAUCCUACGGGAGGCAGCAGUGGGGAAUAUUGCACAAUGGGCGGAAGCCUGAUGCAGCAACGCCGCGUGCGGGAUGACGGCCUUCGGGUUGUAAACCGCUUUCGCCUGUGACGAAGCGUGAGUGACGGUAAUGGGUAAAGAAGCACCGGCUAACUACGUG
rnacentral:rRNA from 1 species